rnacentral:rRNA from 1 species
CCCCGGCUGGAACUUAAGCCAUAUCCAAAUAAAGCGGGAGGGAAAAAGAAACCAACAGGGAUUUGCCCUCAGUAGCGGGCGAAGUGAAGCGGGCAAGAGCUCAGAUUUUAAAAUCGUGCUUUGCGGGCACGAGUUGUAGAUUGCAGGUUGGAGUCUGUGUGGAAGGGCGGUGUCCAAGUCCCUUGGGAACAGGGCGCCCCAGGAGGGUGAGAGCCCCGUGGGAUGCCGGCGGAAGCAGUGAGGCCCUUCUGACGAGUCGAGUUGUUUGGGAAUGCAGCUCCAAGCGGGUGGUAAAUUCCAUCUAAGGCUAAAUACUGGCGAGAGACCGAUAGCGAACAAGUACUGUGAAGGAAAGAUGAAAAGCACUUUGAAAAGAGAGUGAAACAGCACGUGAAAUUGUUGAAAGGGAAGGGUAUUGCGCCCGACAUGGGGAUUGCGCACCGCUGCCUCUCGUGGGCGGCGCUCUGGGCUUUCCCUGGGCCAGCAUCGGUUCUUGCUGCAGGAGAAGGGGUUCUGGAACGUGGCUCUUCGGAGUGUUAUAGCCAGGGCCAGAUGCUGCGUGCGGGGACCGAGGACUGCGGCCGUGUAGGUCACGGAUGCUGGCAGAACGGCGCAACACCGCCCGUCUUGAAACAUGGACCAAGGAGUCUAACGUCUAUGCGAGUGUUUUGGGUGUGAAACCCGUACGCGUAAUGAAAAGUGAACGUAGGUCGGACCCCCUGCCCUCGGGGAGGGGAGCACGAUCGACCGAUCCCGAUGUUUAUCGGAAGGAUUUUGAGUAGGAGCCAUAGCUGUUGGGACCCGAAAGAUGGUGAACUAUGCCCUGAAUAUGGUGAAGCCAGAGGAAACUCUGGUGGAGGCUCGUAGCGGGUUCUGACGUGCAAAUCGAUCGUCGAAUUUGGGGUAUAGGGGGCGAAAGACUUAAUCGAAACCCAUCUAGUAUCUUGGUUUCCUGCCGAAAGUUUUCCUCUUCAAGGAA